rnacentral:misc_RNA from 1 species
UUUCCGAAGGUGAACCUGCGGAAGGAUCAUUGUCGUGACCCUGACCAAAACAGACCGCGCACGCGUCAUCCAAUCCGCCGGCGACGGCACCGUCCAUCGUUCGGCCAUGUCCUCGACCACCUCCCCUCCUCGGAGUGGGUGGGGGCUCCGGGUAAAAGAACCCACGGCGUCGAAGGCGUCAAGGAACACUGUGCCUAACCCAGGGGCAUGGCUAGCUUGCUAGCCGUCCCCCGUGCUGCAAAGCUAUUUAAUCCACACGACUCUCGGCAAUGGAUAUCUCGGCUCUC